GGUCAAGCUACAAAGGGCGCAUGGUGAAUGCCUUGGCAUCAGGAGCCGAUGAAGGACGUGAUAAGCUGCGAUAAGCUUCGGGUAGGCGCACAUAGCCUGAGAUCCGAAGAUCUCCGAAUGAGGAAACUCACAUGGGAAACUCCAUGUAUCAUUAAGUGAAUACAUAGCUUAAUGAAGGUAACCCAGGGAACUGAAACAUCUAAGUACCUGGAGGAAGA
rnacentral:rRNA from 1 species